AUGUACCAAUUUAAGGAGAAUGGACAUGUUUGUUAGUUGAAUCUUACAACAUAUAAACAUUAUCUCUUCGUUUAUUUUGAUCUUUAUUUCUUUUGUCAGAGUUCUGUGGUUUUUCUGCACACUUUUUUUUCCAAUAUACAUCUAAAAAUUUUAUUUUUCUGGAGUGAUGUAUUGUAUUUGUGUAUUGUAUAUAAUGGUAUUGUAUUUUUAAUUUCAGUGUCCACAUGUUCAUUGCUAUGAUACAGAAAUACAAUUGAUUUUCAUAUGUUUAUCUUGUAUCCUGCUACCUUGCUGAAUUAUUAGUUCUACAUAUUUUCAUUUUUGUAGAUUCCUUGAGUCUUUCUACACAAACCAUGAUGAUAUCUACAAAAGAAACAGUGUUAUUUCUUUUUUAUUUCUUUCUCUUGCUCCUUUUGUUUGUUUGUUUGGGGGUGGUGCUGGGAUGGAACCCAGGG
rnacentral:lncRNA from 1 species